rfam:[Eubacterium] angustum strain DSM 1989 ETAN_contig000014, whole genome shotgun sequence.
GGUCGCAUAGCUCAGCUGGGAGAGCAUCUGCCUUACAAGCAGGGGGUCGUAGGUUCGAGCCCUACUGCGACCA